rnacentral:rRNA from 1 species
AGAGUUUGAUCCUGGCUCAGGGUUAACGCUGGCGGCGUGCCUAACACAUGCAAGUCGAACGGGACCAGGGGCAACUCUGGUUCAGUGGCGGACGGGUGCGUAACACGUGAGGAACAUGACCUUCGGCGGGGGAUAGCCGGCCCAACGGCCGGGUAAUACCGCGUACGACCGUUUGGGGACAUCCCCGAAUGGUGAAAGCAGCAAUGCGCCGAUGGAGUGCCUCGCGGCCUAUCAGCUAGUUGGUGGGGUAACGGCCCACCAAGGCGACGACGGGUAGCUGGUCUGAGAGGAUGGCCAGCCACAUUGGGACUGAGACACGGCCCAGACUCCUACGGGAGGCAGCAGUGGGGAAUAUUGCGCAAUGGACGAAAGUCUGACGCAGCGACGCCGCGUGUGGGAUGACGGUCUUCGGAUUGUAAACCACUGUCGGGAGGGACGAAUACGCCGCAAGGCGGGUGACGGUACCUCCAAAGGAAGCACCGGCUAACUCCGUGCCAGCCGCCGCGGUAAUAC